GCGCCUCGCUGUGCAGCCCAGCCGCUGGGGCUGGGAGUCGAGAGGCAGCUGCGGAGAGGAGUGAGAGGGAGGCAGCGCGGCGGCAGCGUUGCCAAGGCGGGCGGGGCUAAGCCGGCUCACAGCCCGUCCUGCUCUUGCUCGGCUUCUGCUCCAGCUCCCCCGGCGGCCCGAAGGAGCACGUGCGAAGGCUUCUGGCAUGGUGGCCUUGCAGGGUACACCCUCCACACCAGCAGAAUACUUGACCCUGAUGAGGAGGAGAAAGAAGAGGGUUAGGGAGGACAUAUUCUGUGAGAUCCUGCAAUGCAUCAGGCCAUGACCAAAGGAUAUGGAGGGUCAAUAUGACAGGCAGCAUGGAGAAAUUCAGAACAGGAAAAAGUCCUGGGGGUCCCAGCAGGACAAGGAGCAGGAAAUGCAAAAUGGGUCUUGACAGGCAGCAAAUCCAAAUGCUGCAGACCCUGAUGGACCUACAGGUAACUCUAUCCUUUGCCAUCCUUGGAGUCCCUUUGCAGUCCACGGAGAAAUUCACGGUCACUGUUCUGUACACAACCCAAUAUAUCAUAUUCUGGUACUGCAGCCUGCAUCCUUGCUCCCACCACUCCAUACCGGGGGACAUCAAGAAAAUUACUGCUUCACAUACAUUGACCCAUGAGAACCAUAAGUGGUGUGUGUGUAGCCACAACUGACAACAUGUGUUUACACAAACAGACAUAAAUGUUUACUUCCUUUUAAAAUUUAAA